GGGGUUGUAGCUCAAUGGUAGAGUGCUUGCCUUGCAUGCAUGAGGCCCUGGGUUCAAUCCUCAGCACCA
rnacentral:tRNA from 1 species